rnacentral:rRNA from 1 species
UCUUGGUCAUUUAGAGGAAGUAAAAGUCGUAACAAGGUUUUCGUAGGUGAACCUGCGGAAGGAUCAUUAAUGAAUUCGGGCGCUCGACUCUGAAAUAUUGAGAUCGGCCCCAUUUCUUAAUCCACUUCACACUUGUGCACAUUUUUCCUACUUUCCUUCGGGAGAGUUUGAAAAGCUCUUGUGAUUUUAAUCAAGUCCGGGAUGUGAGUCCAAUUUGAAUAAGUUGUAAAACAACUACAAACGGUGGAUCUCUUGGCUCUCGUAUCGAUGAAGAACGCAGCGAAACGCGAAAUGUAAUGUGAAUUGCAGAAUUCAGUGAAUCAUCGAAUCUUUGAACGCAUCUUGCACUCUCGAAUCACUAUCGAGAGUAUGCCUGUUUGAGUGUCGCGAAACUCUCAACCCCGCCUCAUGCUUUAUUGCGUGUGGGUAGCUUGGGCUUGGAUCAUGAUCUUUGCAGUAAUGCGCUAGCAGAACUGCUGGAUUGAAGUACAACAAGCUGAAUCUAUAUACUUGCGGCUUGACCUGUCGUUGUAAGCACACAAAUGCAUUCGAUGGGGACGCGAGAAAAUGGAAUGAGCUUUCCAAAUGUGUUACACUUUGCAGCUUCUAUUAACUUAGAGCUCUUAGUGCAUUCUGACCUCAAAUCAGUAGGAUUACCCGCUGAACUUAAGCAUAUCAAUAAGCGGAGGAA